CUAGCUUGCUAGAUGUUGACGACCGGCGCACGGGUGCGCAACGCGUAUACAAUCUGCCCCCUACUGUGGGAUAGCCCAGAGAAAUUUGGAUUAAUACCACAUGGUACCAUAUUACGGCAUCGUAUUUAUGGUUAAAGGUUACGGUAGGGGAUGAGUAUGCGUCCCAUUAGUUAGUUGGCGAGGUAACGGCUCACCAAGACCGCGAUGGGUAGGGGCCCUGAGAGGGGGAUCCCCCACACUGGUACUGAGACACGGACCAGACUCCUACGGGAGGCAGCAGUGAGGAAUAUUGGACAAUGGGCGGGAGCCUGAUCCAGCCAUGCCGCGUGCAGGAAGAAUGCCCUAUGGGUAGUAAACUGCUUUUAUACGGGAAGAAAAAGGGCUACGUGUAGCCCACUGACGGUACCGUAAGAAUAAGGACCGGCUAACUCCGUGCCAGCAGCCGCGGUAAUACGGAGGGUCCGAGCGUUAUCCGGAAUUAUUGGGUUUAAAGGGUCCGUAGGCGGGCCGAUAAGUCAGGGGUGAAAGUCUGCCGCUCAACGGUAGAAUUGCCUUUGAUACUGUCGGUCUUGAGUUAUGGUGAAGUUGGCGGAAUAUGUAGUGUAGCGGUGAAAUGCAUAGAUAUUACAUAGAACACCGAUUGCGAAGGCAGCUGACUAACCAUCGACUGACGCUGAUGGACGAAAGCGUGGGGAGCGAACAGGAUUAGAUACCCUGGUAGUCCACGCCGUAAACGAUGGAUACUAGCUGUCCGGGUCCUUGAGACCUGGGCGGCCAAGCGAAAGUGAUAAGUAUCCCACCUGGGGAGUACGUUCGCAAGAAUGAAACUCAAAGGAAUUGACGGGGGCCCGCACAAGCGGUGGAGCAUGUGGUUUAAUUCGAUGAUACGCGAGGAACCUUACCAGGGCUUAAAUGCAUAUUGACAGGGUCAGAGAUGACUUUUCCUUCGGGCAAUUUGCAAGGUGCUGCAUGGUUGUCGUCAGCUCCUGCCGUGAGGUGUCAGGUUAAGUCCUAUAACGAGCGCAACCCCUACCGUUAGUUGCCA
rnacentral:rRNA from 1 species